GAUCCUGGCUCAGAUUGAACGCUGGCGGCAGGCCUAACACAUGCAAGUCGAACGGUAACAGGAAGCAGCUUGCUGCUUCGCUGACGAGUGGCGGACGGGUGAGUAAUGUCUGGGAAACUGCCUGAUGGAGGGGGAUAGCUACUGGAAACGGUAGCUAAUACCGCAUAACGUCGCAAGACCAAAGAGGGGGGACCUUCGGGCCUCUUGCCAUCGGAUGUGCCCAGAUGGGAUUAGCUAGG
rnacentral:rRNA from 1 species